rnacentral:rRNA from 1 species
AACGAACGCUGGCGGCAUGCCUAACACAUGCAAGUCGAACGAAGCCUUCGGGCUUAGUGGCGCACGGGUGCGUAACACGUGGGAAUCUGCCCUUAGGUACGGAAUAACUCAGGGAAACUUGAGCUAAUACCGUAUGAUGUCUUCGGACCAAAGAUUUAUCGCCUAAGGAUGAGCCCGCGUCGGAUUAGCUAGUUGGUGGGGUAAAGGCCUACCAAGGCGACGAUCCGUAGCUGGUCUGAGAGGAUGAUCAGCCACACUGGGACUGAGACACGGCCCAGACUCCUACGGGAGGCAGCAGUGGGGAAUAUUGGACAAUGGGCGAAAGCCUGAUCCAGCAAUGCCGCGUGAGUGAAGAAGGCCUUCGGGUUGUAAAGCUCUUUUACCCGGGAAGAUAAUGACUGUACCGGGAGAAUAAGCCCCGGCUAACUCCGUGCCAGCAGCCGCAGUAAUAC